UACGUAGGAUGCGAGCGUUAUCCGGAUUUAUUGGGUUUAAAGGGUGCGUAGGCGGGCUUUUAAGUCAGCGGUAAAAAUUCGGGGCUCAACCCCGUCCGGCCGUUGAAACUGGGGGCCUUGAGUGGGCGAGAAGAAGGCGGAAUGCGUGGUGUAGCGGUGAAAUGCAUAGAUAUCACGCAGAGCCCCGAUUGCGAAGGCAGCCUUCCGGCGCCCUACUGACGCUGAGGCACGAAAGUGCGGGGAUCGAACAGG
rnacentral:rRNA from 1 species